rnacentral:rRNA from 1 species
UACGGGGGGAGCAAGCGUUGUUCGGAUUUACUGGGCGUAAAGGGCGCGUAGGCGGCGUGACAAGUCACUUGUGAAAUCUCCGGGCUUAACUCGGAACGGUCAAGUGAUACUGUCGUGCUAGAGUACAGAAGGGGCAACUGGAAUUCUCGGUGUAGCGGUGAAAUGCGUAGAUAUCUGGAGGAACACCGGUGGCGAAGGCGGCAUCCUGGACCGAUAUUGACGCUGAUGCGCGAAAGCCAGGGGAGCAAACGGG